rnacentral:rRNA from 1 species
AAUCAACGCUGGCGGCGUGCCUAACACAUGCAAGUCGAACGCGAAAAGGGGCAACCCUGAGUAGAGUGGCGUCCGGGUGAGUAACACGUGGAUAAUCUGCCUCCGAGUGGGGAACAACACCGGGAAACUGGUGCUAAUACCGCAUGACAUCGUUGGACCUUCGGAUCUGACGAUCAAAGCCGGGGACCGGCAAGGCCUGGCGCUUGGAGAGGAGCCCGCGUCCGAUUAGCAGUUGGUGGGGUAAGUGGCCCACCAAGGCUACGAUCGGUAGCCGGCCUGAGAGGGCGGACGGCCACACUGGGACUGAGACACGGCCCAGACUCCUACGGGAGGCAGCAGUGGGGAAUUUUCGCAAUGGGCGAAAGCCUGACGAAGCAAUGCCGCGUGGAGGAUGAAGGCCU